rnacentral:rRNA from 1 species
CCUACGGGUGGCAGCAGUAGGGAAUUUUGCGCAAUGGGCGAAACCCUGACGCAGCAACGCCGCGUGAUCGAUGAAGCCCCUCGGGGUGUUAAGCUCUGUCAGUGGGGACGAAACCUGACGCUCCCCACAGAGGAAGCACCUGCCAACUCCGUGCGAGCAGCCUCGGUACUACGGGGGGUGCAAGCGUUUGCCGGAAUCAUUGGGCGUAAAGGGUUCGUAGGGGGGACGUUAAGUCUGGUGUUAAAGGCGGAGGCUCAACCUCCGUAGGGCGGUGGAAACUGGCGAGCUUGAGUGCGGGAGAGGUAAGGGGAAUUCCUGGUGUAGCGGUGAAAUGCGUAGAUAUCAGGAAGAACAUCGGUGGCGAAAGC